GCUCUCCCCAAGGCAGUUCAACUGAGUGCCAAGUCCAAAGACACCAAAACAGUUCACAGUUUUUGGCCAGGGCUGGGUUUGAACCCACCAUCUCCAGCAUAUGGGGCUGGCACCCUAUGCCAUUGAGCCACAGGUGCCUCCCUGCUUCAUUUAUCUCCUACAACAAUGUGAUAGAUAUUGCUGGGACCCUGAAGCACUGGCAGUCUCUGCAGCCCUUCUUUGGAGGUUUGGACCAACUGGAACCGCUUUUCAAACAGGUGCAAAGAGCCAAAGGUGCAUCCCCCUGGGGCAGGUGGCCUUGACUGAUGACUUUCAGGCAAGGGAGGGUAAGAGCUGCUCUCUCACCUGGGACAGGGGC